GAAAUGCGAUAAGUAAUGUGAAUUGCAGAAUUCAGUGAAUCAUCGAAUCUUUGAACGCACAUUGCGCCCGCCAGUAUUCUGGCGGGCAUGCCUGUUCGAGCGUCAUUUCAACCAUCAAGCCCCCGUCGGCUUGUGUUGGGGCCCUGCGGCUGCCCGCAGGCCCUGAAAAUCAGUGGCGGGCUCGCUAGCAACACCGAGCGCAGUAGCAUACACCUCGCUCAGGUCGUGCGGCGGGUUCCGGCCGUUAAAGCCCCCCUCAUACCAAAGGUUGACCUCGGAUCAGGUAGGAAUACCCGCUGAACUUAA
rnacentral:misc_RNA from 1 species